rnacentral:rRNA from 1 species
UAUAAGACUAAAUACUACUUGGCAACCGAUAGUGAACAAGUACCGCGAGGGAAAGGUGAAAAGAACCCCUGCUAGGGGAGUGAAAUAGACCUGAAACCGAUUGCAUACAAUGUGUAGGAGCACCGCAAGGUGUGACUGCUUGCCUUUUGCAUAAUGAGUCUGCGAGUUAUUAUCAGUGGCCAGCCUAAGGUUCUCUGAACUGGAGGCGAAGCGAAAGCGAGUGUGAAUAGCGCGACAAGUCGCUGGUAAUAGACCCGAAGCGGAGGUGAUCUACUCUUGAGCAGGUUGAAGCUGUGGUAACACACAGUGAAGGACCGAACUCGUGAAUGUUGAAAAAUUCUGAGAUGACUUGAGAGUAGGAGCGAAAGACUAAUCAAACCCCGUGAUAGCUGGUUCUCUCCGAAAUCGCUUGAGGGCGAGUCUUGGGUAAGUACUCGAAGGAGGUAGAGCACUGAAUGGCUUAGGGGCCCCACCAGGCUGCCAAAACCAAUCAAACUCCGAAUACCUUCGAUCUCAUUAACCCAGGAGUCAGGCUGCGGGUGAUAAGAUUCGUAGCCGAGAGGGCAACAGCCCAGACCAUCAGCUAAGGUGCCUAAAUAUGAUUAAGUGGAAAGGAUGUGACUUUGCUUAGAUAGUGAGGAUGUUGGCUUAGAGGUAGCCAUCAUUUAAAUAGUGUGUAAUAGUUGACUCAUCGAGCGAGGUCGCGCCGAAAAUGAUUGGUGAUUAAAUCAUAUACCGAAGCUAUGGAUUGAUAGAGUUUUCGAACACUAUCAGUGGUAGGAGAGCGUAAUCAGUGCUGUGAAGCCGAACUGAAAAGGAUGGUGGAGCGCUGAUUAGUGAGAAUGCAGACACGAGUAGCGAUAAACCAGAUGAGAAUUCUGGUCGCCGUAAACCCAAGGUUUCCUGGGCCAGGUUCGUCCUCCCAGGGUUAGUCUGGACCUAACACGAGGCCGUAAGGCGUAGUGGAUGGACAGAAGGUUAAAUAUUCCUUCACCAGCUAGGAUUAAGGCGUGGAGUGCACAGAGAGAAAAGUAACUAGGCAAUCGAAUGCCGAGCUUAGCCUUCGGGCGAAGCGUAUUACCAGACAAUCUGUCUAGAAAAGCUCCACGUUGUUUCCCUGGUUGCCAGUACCGUAAACCGACACAGGUGGGUGGGUCGAGUAGACCAAGGCGCGCGAGAGAAACCUCUCUAAGGAACUCGGCACAUUAGCCCCGUAACUUCGGGAGAAGGGGUGCCUAUUUAAUAGGUCUCAGCAAAUUGCGUUUAGCGACUGUUUAACAAAAACACAGCACUCUGCUAAGUCGUCAAGACGACGUAUAGGGUGUGACACGUGACCAAUGCGGAAAGAUCAAGGCAACUUGUUAGCCGUAAGGCGAAGCUCGGAACCUAAGUCCCCGUGAAUGUCGGCCGUAACUAUAACGGUCCUAAGGUAGCGAAAUUCCUUGUCGGGUAAGUUCCGACCUGCACGAAUCGUGUAACGACUGAACGACUGUCUCGGAGAGGAUCUCGGCGAAACUGUAACGGCGGUGAAGAUGCCGCCUGCCCGCAGUAGGACGGAAAGACCCUAUGCACCUUUACUGUAAGCUCGUAUUGGGUUCUGAUUAAUAAUGCUUAGCGUAGGUGGGAGACUUUGAAGGCGUGGCUUCGGUUGCGCUGGAGUCGAAAUGUGAAACACCACUCUUUGUUAAUUAGGAUUCUAACCCCGAUUCCUGUGAAGCCAGGCGGGGGACAGUGCGUGCGGGUCAGUUUGACUGGGGCGGUUUCCUCCCAA